rnacentral:ncRNA from 2 species
UGAUGAUAUAGAGAGAUUGUUCGUAUAUCCUCAUUGAUAUGGUUUGAGGGUUUCUACAAGGGACCGUAAAUCUCUGGCUACGAACAGGACUGCUUUUUGG